rnacentral:tRNA from 33 species
GCGGGGUUCGUAUAGUGGUAAUACCUUAGCCUUCCAAGCUAAAGCGAGGAGUUCGAUUCUCCUACCCCGCUCCA